UUUCAUGUUCCCUUAUAUUUGAAAACUGGUAUUAGCAUUUACUUCUCGGACUCAGACCAAUUCCCCCUUACCUGUCAGAGAACAUCUAGCAAUAAAUGCUGACAAAGCUACAUAGCAAAGGGCAAACCUGUCACUUCCCUUUCAGAAACCUGUUUAUGCACCCUCCUGCAAUCCCACCACCUGCCCAGGCCAAGUGAGCCCCUCUCCGCUACUGGUGUUUCAUAAUGCUGGGGAGCUACUUUGAUUUCAUGCAUUGCCCUUCAGUGCCAUGUUAUGAGGACACUUGGAGAAAGCUACAGGAGAGGAACUGAGGUCUCCUGCCAUCAGCCACUUGAGUGAGCAUGGGAGUGGAUUCUCCAAACUCCAGUUAAGACUUGAAAUGUCCACAGUGGCAGCCACUAGCUUGACUGCAACUUACGAGAGACACUGAGCCAGAGGCACUCAGCUAAGUCAUACACAGUUUCCUGACCCGUAAAACCUGUGACACAAUGAAGGUUUGUUGUUUUGGGGGUAAUCCGUUAUUCAGCAAUAGAUAACGAAUACAGACGGCUUGUAAUUGUAUAACCAACGUGAGUUUAUAAGCGGAUAUCUGACCUCAUUUGUUUUCUCCUGAAAAAGUUAUAGAAAAAUCACAAGACUGCAAGUCACUCUCUCUCUUUCUUUUGUGGGGAAUAAACAAGUAUAAUUACAAUUUCUAAACCUAUUGUUU
rnacentral:lncRNA from 1 species